rnacentral:rRNA from 1 species
UUAAAGGGCUGCAGUAUAUUGACUGUACAAAGGUAGCAUAAUAAUUAGUCUUUUAAUUGAAGACUUGUAUGAAAGAUUUGAUGAAAUAUUAACUGUCUCUUUUUUAUAUUUAAAAUUUAAUUUUUUAGUAAAAAAGCUAAAAUUUUUUUAAAAGACGAGAAGACCCUAUAGAGUUUUAUAAUUAAAUUAUUUAUAAAUUUUAUUUAUAAAUUAUUUUAUGAUAAAUAGUUUAAUUAUUUUAUUGGGGUGAUAAAAAAAUUAAUUAAACUUUUUUUUUUAUAAAACAUUGAUUAAUGAGUAAUUGAUCCAUAAUUUAUGAUUAAAAGAAAAAAUUACCUUAGGGAUAACAGCGUAAUUUUUUUUUUUAGUUCUUAAAAAAAAAAAAGUUUGCGACCCCAAUGUUGGAUUAAAAAAAAAUUUAAAUGCAAAAGUUUAAAAUUU